GUAUGCUUUCUCACUCCACAGAAGCUUCUGUUGCUCUGCACCAUUCAGGAUUUGCCCCAUCUCUGUGAUGCAUCUCACCUGUCCAACUUCAACCCAUGGUCCAUAUGCUAAGCAUGGCUGCUAGUGCUGACAUCCUCACUUCCCUUGCCCAGCUUCUGGGAGAAAUAAGCAGUAAAUGGUUGCUGACGUUCUGAACGUACGAUGAGUGUACAAGGAGCAAGGCUUGUGCAACAGGACAAAAUGGAAUAACAUGAAAGCUGGGAGCACAGCGGUUGCAGCAUCACAGGAGAAAAUACCCCAGCAGCCCCACAGGAAGGUGACGCUGAAUCUCCUGUCACAGUACAAACAGGCAUGAUUUGUGAUCCAGAGGAGGAUGCAGUCCUUUCCAUUCAUUCUCUCUGGCCCCAUCUAAGCCUUCCAAAGCAUCUGUGAACGUGGCCCAGCGAUGUUAUCUUCCCAGGCAGUUACCUGCAAGAGAUUCAUCCUUACCUGCUCCUGCUCUGUGUUCUGGGAUGUAUUUGUGCAGCCAGAAGAUAAAGCCUCACAGCGUGGCACAGCGUCCUGCAAACACCUUCAACAGCAGCUGAGCACUGGUGACAGAGGAAGCAGCAGCACAAGCUGUCCACCCUCUGCCAGCUGUCCCAGGUGGGGGUCAGUAUCCAAGG